GAUGAACGCUGGCGGCGUGCCUAAUACAUGCAAGUCGAGCGAACAGACGAGGAGCUUGCUCCUCUGACGUUAGCGGCGGACGGGUGAGUAACACGUGGAUAACCUCCCUAUCAGACUGGGAUAACUUCGGGAAACCGGAGCUAAUACCGGAUAAUAUCUUGAACCGCAUGGUUCAAUAGUGAAAGACGGUUUUGCUGUCACUUAUAGAUGGAUCCGCGCCGCAUUAGCUAGUUGGUAAGGUAACGGCUUACCAAGGCAACGAUGCGUAGCCGACCUGAGAGGGUGAUCGGCCACACGGGAGCUGAGACACGGUCCAUACUCCUACGGUAGGCAGCAGUAGGGAAUCUGCCGCAAUGGGCGAAAGCCUGACGGAGCAACGCCGCGUGAGUGAUGAAGGUCUUCGGAGCGUAAAACUCUGUUAUUAGGUAAGAACAAAUGUGUAAGUAACUAUGCACGGCUUGACGGUACCUAAUCAGAAAGCCACGGCUAACUACGUG
rnacentral:rRNA from 1 species